AUCAUGACUGGAGCCAAAAUCCAGAGUUGGUCACUUAACUGACUUAGCCACCCAGGCGCCCCUGUAGGGGGUAAUUAAAUGAAGGCAUUGCAUGUACAACAUCUUCAGGCAUAGGACCACAGUUUAGCAAUGAAACAAGAAUUUGGACCUACAUGGAAUAGAAAAAGCAUUGGUAAAUCAGAGAUUUCUUAUAUUUCCAGGACCUUGAAUACCAUGAGUAAUGAAAUUUUACAUUUAUUAAAGAAUUACCGGUGUAUGUUCUGAGUAAAUACCAUUUAAAGGUAAAAGAAGAGGUCUUGCUUGUUAGUGGUCUAAUUCAAGAUUUUACUUGCAUGAAAUUUUACUUAGGCUUGUGAAUUUUUUUUUUUUUUAAUGUUGUCUUUUUUUCCCUCUAAUGGGUGCUUUACUAGUCCAGUCAUGUUUGUUUAACUUAAAAACUGAGGAAUGCUUGCUAUACGGAGGAAUUAGAGUAGCUAAGCAAGGGAAUUAGCAGUUCUUCCCAGCAUCCUUAACUUUCGAAUAAACAUCAAAUGUUUAUUCGAAAGUUGUGGAAGUUCUGGUGGCCUUAUUGGUUAAAGGUACUUUUCGGUUUGGUUUUGGUGUAUCUAUUAGUUUAAUCUCCUUUUGUAGAUUUCUUUUGCAUUUGUAGUAUUUGUUUGACAGAAAGUAGAUGCAGGGGAUAUAGGUAAUCACGUUUGUAGUUAUUGAACUCUUACACUUUUAUGUGGUCAAUAAUGUUCUACUUUAAAAUUUCCCAGUGGAUAAUGGAAAAUCCCAAAAUGAGAAUUACGAUUUGCUUGUAAAUAUAGAGGGUGUCAUGUAAAUACAUUAAGUCUGUGAAUCUUAAUUUUGGGGGAAUCUUAAUUGGG